rnacentral:rRNA from 1 species
UACGUAGGGUGCAAGCGUUAAUCGGAAUUACUGGGCGUAAAGCGUGCGCAGGCGGUUCUGCAAGUCAGGUGUGAAAUCCCCGGGCUUAACCUGGGAACUGCACUUGUGACUGCACGGCUGGAGUACGGCAGAGGGGGAUGGAAUUCCGCGUGUAGCAGUGAAAUGCGUAGAUAUGCGGAGGAACACCGAUGGCGAAGGCAGUCCCCUGGGCCUGUACUGACGCUCAUGCACGAAAGCGUGGGGAGCAAACAGG